UCCACCCCCACAUCCUCCCAAACCCUGGCUCCAUCAAGUCAGGCAGAAGGAGCAUCUUCUGAGGUGGAGACUUUAAUCCGAGACAUAUGGGCAGGGAGGAGGAAGGAGACGCUAUGGGCCAAGUAUGGCCCAUACAAAGUUUACAGCGAGAACCUCAUGGUCUUGGCCCCAGGACAGCAGUUGGAGGGAGAGGUAAGCCUACUUUAUAACACUUGACACUGUUUAAUUUGUUGCACUUCCACAGAUCAUGUAUCUGAGGGGAAACAGGUCCCUUUUUGGACCCAUUUGGGGCCAUCAAAGAACAGAUAAGCCGCUGCAAAGACCUAACACGAUCGCUGGUCCGCAAGACAAACCCAGCUGUUGUGAGAUGGGCAUGUGACAGCAUGGAUCAUCCCAAACAGCAGGACACAGCAUCAUGCGGUGUGUUGAUUUGCAAGCUUGCAGAGAAAAUAAUAUUGGACCAGAAGCAGAAGGUCCAAUACCUUGUUGACCAGGCGGGUGUGGCCUCAAUGAGGUUCGACAUGGCAAUGUCCCUGGUGAAAAAUUCCGGUAUACAGGACUAAACCAGAGAAACAAAAAAAUAUUCUGUAUUUUUUGGCAUUUCACUACAUUUAUGCCGGUAUUUGUUUUUUACAGAUGACCUAUCCCAGCUGUGUCGGGCCUGUGGGGAACUUAGUUCAGGGUUCACCAAGGUUGACCAAUGGGUAAGACGUUGUAUUAAUUCCCUGACCACCAUUUGGCUGGAAGACUGGGAUACACCCUGGAUAGGUUACCUCAACCUCACCGGGUGAACACUAUAACAGAUAUUGAACAUUUCUACUUUAAUUCACCAAACUUGCAUGUAUUUGCACUAUGGGAGAACAUUGGUGUAGUGGAAGGAACUUCUGAGCACGGACUCUACACAGAAAGGACCACAGAUAAGAUCCCAACCUAUACAUUGCUUGCUUAGUUAAAUGUUAACAGCGUGAUUGUAAAGCGUACUCUGGAUGAGUGAUGUUAACCUAAAAAAUGUACACACACAC